GGUAUUUUUUUUCUUAAUAAUUAUUAAAAUAGAAGAUUUAUUCAUUUAUAUGACAUUUUUUCAGGAGUGAUUAGAGUAAGAUUUUUUGAAACCCACAUAGGACACCCUGACGAAUUAAGAAGCAAAAGGCUAACAAAAUCGGAACAGGAGAUAAUUGUGGAUAAAUUAGCAGCAGGAGUUUCAAACAAGAGAAUUAUUCAGGAGGCCAGAAGCGUAGACGGCAAUAAACUACAAAGGAAAAAUUGUAUAACAAGAGAAUAUUUAGAGUACCUAAUACGAAAAUUUAAUAUUGACAAGAAAAGGGACAGUGAUGAUAUGAUAGUCACAGUGUUAAAAAUUCAGGAAUGGAACCGUGAUGGAAAAAAUCAUGGAUUUUUAUUUAAACAGAUAGGAGAAACUUAUCCAGGAUUAGAAGAAGAUGAUUUUGCAGUUGGAUAUAUGAAUGCUAUUAUGGAAAAAAAAUUAAAAGAAUUUCCAAAAAUAAUCUGUAUAGAUGGAACCCAUGGAAGAAAUAGGAGAAACUGGGACUUCACAAUUGUGUUAAUAAGAGAUGAACAAAAUAUGGGUUUUCCAGUGGCAUUCUUACUAAGUAACAGAUUAGAUCAAUUAAUUCAAGAGGUUUUUUUUAGGGCACUUAAAACUAGAUUAGGGAAAGCAGUUCAAGCUGAAUAUAUAAUGAGCGAUGACGAUCCAAAAUAUUACAAUGCAUGGAUAAUGGCUAUGGAUGCAGAACAUAAACCAAGAAGAUUACUUUGUACGUGGCAUAUACUGAAAAAUUGGAACAUACAAGGAAGGUCUAAAAUCAAGAAGUUGGAAAAUAGACAGAUAAUGAAACAUGAAAUGAGGAAAAUUUUAAAGGAGACUGAUCCACAAAAAUUUAUACAGCUGAAAGAGAACUAUUUUAGGCAAUUAGAAGAAGAGGAGGAAACUAAUUUUCAGAAUUACCUG